GUUAAGAUUCAGUUUAUCUACUGAGAAGGUGUCAAAUAAAUCCUAAUAAGUUAUAAUUAUAAGUUUAAUAACAAAGAGAUGUGAUUCUAUCUCCGGACACCUUACUAUGAAUUAGAUCCAUUUGCUAUUUACAAAUAUCAAAAAAUGACAUAAUAGGUCCAAAUUUUGGGCUUAUUCUAUGCACUUAAGAUCAAAGAAUUUGUCCACACCAUUCUAGAGCAAAUCUUUGAUAUUUUGAAGGUAGAAAAUAUCAAACUAUAUAGAGCCAAGUACUCAAGACUUUGAGCUUGUAUACUUGUAAAUAAUAUCAAUUCUCUAUCAAAGUCCAUUUGCAUCUCUAGACUCAAUAUGAAAGAUCCUACUAAACAAAAAUAAACUCUAGCAUUCAACAACUUUAUUGUCCAAUGUAGCCACUGCCAAUUAUAUGAAUUUAAUAUCAAUGAAUGUGCUUUGAUUCAAAGAUCAACAAAAGAUCAAAUUGGCUCCAAGGAUUAAAAGCAAAUCAAGUAAAUCUCAAAUAUAGACUCAAUCUCAUAAAGCAACAAUAUAAGUGAUAGUCAUAAUGCUAACAACAAACUCAAAGACAAUGCAAGAACUCAUAUCUUAUAAUUCAAGAAAUACUUACCAUUAGGUCAUCACAUAUCUUUAGGUUUUAUUUGGCAAAUUAUUAAAUAUAAUGUGUAGGAUAAGGUAAUAGAUUCAAUAUAUAAAAGUACCAUACCAUAUCAAAUAACAUAUAUCUACCAUACCUUCUAAAAAGCACUCAACUAAAUUGCACAACUACAAAGAACAAAAAAAUUGGUAUUUGUAGUAUCAAUGAUUAUAUACAAAACAUAAAAAUAAAAAUAAAAAUAAAGACUUUGAAAUCCUCCUAUCUAUCUAAGCAAAAAUCAUCUUCCAUCUCUUUC
rnacentral:lncRNA from 1 species